rnacentral:rRNA from 1 species
CGAAGGAUGCAAGCGUUAUCCGGAUUCAUUGGGUUUAAAGGGUGCGUAGGCGGCCUUGUAAGUCAGUGGUGAAAUCUCCUCGCUUAACGAGGAAACUGCCAUUGAUACUGCAGGGCUUGAGUACAGUUGCUGUGGGCGGAAUAUGACAUGUAGUGGUGAAAUACAUAGAGAUGUCAUAGAACACCGAUUGCGAAGGCAGCUCACAAAACUGUAACUGACGCUGAGGCACGAAAGUGCGGGGAUCAAACAGGAUUAGAUACCCUGGUAGUCCGCACUGUAAACGAUGAUUACUCGCUGCUAGGGGGCAACCUUUAGUGGCUUAGCGAAAGCGAUAAGUAAUCCACCUGGGGAGUACGCCGGCAACGGUG